CAAUAGCGUAUAUUAAAGUUGUUGCAGUUAAAAAGCUCGUAGUUGAAUUUCUGGCGGGCGCGCCGGUCUUCCAAGUGUUGUACUGGGCGCAGUCCGCCAUCCUUGUGGAGAGGGCUCGCAUUGAGUUGCGUGUCGGAUCUGCAUCAUUUACUGUGAAAAAAUUAGAGUGUUUAAAGCAGGCUGUCGCUUGAAUACAUUAGCAUGGAAUAAUGAGAUAGGACUUCGGUCUAUUUUGUUGGUUGCGAACCGAGGUAAUGAUUAAUAGGGAUAGUUGGGGGUAUUCAUAUUUAAUUGUCAGAGGUGAAAUUCUUGGAUUUAUGAAAGAUGAACAACUGCGAAAGCAUUUACCAAGGAUGUUUUCAUUA
rnacentral:rRNA from 1 species